GCAGGAGGAGAGGCAACCCGGCGGCAAGAGCGGGCCAAACCGGUGGUCGGCGGUGACCACCGACGAUGAAAAAAUAGCAAAAAGAAAGAUUUCUUCCGCAACAAAAUCCGGCGACUCCGGUCGCCGGCGAGCGUGCACACCGGCACGGGAAGGAAAGGAGAGAAGAGAGAAAGGGGAGGAGACUUACCUCCGACGCCGGCGAAGCUUUUCCGGC
rnacentral:lncRNA from 1 species